CCUAAGGUAGCGAAAUUCCUUGUCGGGUAAGUUCCGACCCGCACGAAAGGCGUAAUGAUUUGAGCGCUGUCUCGACAAUGCAUCCGGUGAAAUUGAAGUACCAGUGAAGAUGCUGGUUACCUGCGCCAGGACGGAAAGACCCCAUGGAGCUUUACUCCAGUCUGGUACUGGGACUCGGUAUUGCAUGUACAGGAUAGGUGGGAGGCUAGGAGAUGGUAACGCCAGUUGCCAUGGAGCCGCUGUUGGGAUACCACCCUUGCAGUAUUGGGUUUCUAACCAGCCGCCGUGACCCGGCGGUGGGACAAUGCCAGACGGGGAGUUUGACUGGGGCGGUCGCCUCCGAAAGGGUAUCGGAGGCGCCCAAAGGUUCCCUCAGAAUGGACGGAAACCAUUCGAAGAGUGCAAAGGCAGAAGGGAGCUUGACUGCGACACCGACGGGUGGAGCAGGUACGAAAGUAGGGCUUAGUGAUCCGGUGGUAUUAAGUGGGAAUGCCAUCGCUCAACGGAUAAAAGCUACCCUGGGGAUAACAGGCUUAUCACUCCCAAGAGUUCACAUCGACGGAGUGGUUUGGCACCUCGAUGUCGGCUCAUCGCAUCCUGGGGCUGUAGUAGGUCCCAAGGGUUGGGCUGUUCGCCCAUUAAAGCGGUACGCGAGCUGGGUUCAGAACGUCGUGAGACAGUUCGGUCCCUAUCCGUCGCGGGCGUAGGAAAUUUGAGAGGAUCUGUCCUUAGUACGAGAGGACCGGGAUGGACAUACCGCUGGUGUACCAGUUGUUCUGCCAAGGGCAUCGCUGGGUAGCUAUGUAUGGAUGAGAUAAACGCUGAAAGCAUCUAAGUGCGAAACUCACCUCGAGAUAAGAUUUCCCAUUCCUUUAUGGAAGUAAGACCCCUGAGAGAUGAUCAGGUAGAUAGGAUGGAAGUGGAAGUACGGUGACGUAUGGAGCGGACCAUUACUAAUCGGUCGAGGACUUAACCAA
rnacentral:rRNA from 1 species